GCUUGCUUUUCCUGCCGGCGAGUGGCGAACGGGUGAGUAAUACAUCGGAACGUGCCCUGUAGUGGGGGAUAACUAGUCGAAAGAUUAGCUAAUACCGCAUACGACCUGAGGGUGAAAGUGGGGGACCGCAAGGCCUCAUGCUAUAGGAGCGGCCGAUGUCUGAUUAGCUAGUUGGUGGGGUAAAGGCCUACCAAGGCGACGAUCAGUAGCUGGUCUGAGAGGACGAUCAGCCACACUGGGACUGAGACACGGCCCAGACUCCUACGGGAGGCAGCAGUGGGGAAUUUUGGACAAUGGGCGAAAGCCUGAUCCAGCAAUGCCGCGUGUGUGAAGAAGGCCUUCGGGUUGUAAAGCACUUUUGUCCGGAAAGAAAUGGCUCUGGUUAAUACCUGGGGUCGAUGACGGUACCGGAAGAAUAAGGACCGGCUAACUACGUGCCAGCAGCCGCGGUAAUACGUAGGGUCCAAGCGUUAAUCGGAAUUACUGGGCGUAAAGCGUGCGCAGGCGGUUGUGCAAGACCGAUGUGAAAUCCCCGAGCUUAACUUGGGAAUUGCAUUGGUGACUGCACGGCUAGAGUGUGUCAGAGGGGGGUAGAAUUCCACGUGUAGCAGUGAAAUGCGUAGAGAUGUGGAGGAAUACCGAUGGCGAAGGCAGCCCCCUGGGAUAACACUGACGCUCAUGCACG
rnacentral:rRNA from 1 species